UUUUUAUGAGAGUUUGAUCCUGGCUCAGGACGAACGCUGGCGGCGUGCCUAAUACAUGCAAGUCGAACGCUUCUUUUUCCACCGGAGCUUGCUCCACCGGAAAAAGAGGAGUGGCGAACGGGUGAGUAACACGUGGGUAACCUGCCCAUCAGAAGGGGAUAACACUUGGAAACAGGUGCUAAUACCGUAUAAC
rnacentral:rRNA from 1 species